UUGAAAGGGAAACGAUUGAAGUCAGUCGUACCUGCGGGAUAAUCAGCCUUUCGAGUAUGAUUCUGUGGAGUGUAAGGAGUUUAACCGUCUUCAUACCUGCAUAUUCGUGCGCUUUGGGUGUACUUGUCCGUAUGGUAGGUUAACAUCAAUUUUGGUCGUUAUAAAAUGACUAGGGGAAUGUAGCUUUGAUCCCGUAUUGAAGUGUUAUAGCCUCUGGUAAAUGCAGUGACUAGGAUUGAGGAUUGCAACGGAUACCUUUCGGGGCUACUCGUCUGAUCUCUGGAAGUUACUUUGGUGCUAAAAGCUUGCUUAUGGUUAUCGAAGUUGACGGUCAAUAGGUUAGAACGAGUUAAAUUCAUUAAGGAUGUUGACGUA
rnacentral:rRNA from 1 species